rnacentral:rRNA from 2 species
AUGAUUUUGGAUCCGACUGAGUGGCGAACUGGUGAGUAACACGUGGGUAACCUGCCCAGAAGAAGGGGAUAACACCUGGAAACAGAUGCUAAUACCGUAUAACAACAAGAACCACAUGGUUCUUGUUUGAAAGCUGGCCUUUGUGCUAGUGCUUCUGGAUGGACCCGCGGCGUAUUAGCUAGUUGGUGAGAUAAUAGCUCACCAAGGCAAUGAUACGUAGCAGACCUGAGAGGGUAAUCUGCCACAAUGGGACUGAGACACGGCCCAUACUCCUACGGGAGGCAGCAGUAGGGAAUCUUCCACAAUGGACGAAAGUCUGAUGGAGCAACGCCGCGUGAGUGAAGAAGGGUUUCGGCUCGUAAAACUCUGUUGUUAGAGAAGAACAGCCGUGAGAGCAACUGCUCACGGUAUGACGGUAUCUAACCAGAAAGUCACGGCUAACUACGUGCCAGCAGCCGCGGUAAUACGUAGGUGGCAAACGUUGUCCGGAUUUAUUGGGCGUAAAGGGAGCGCAGGCGGUUUAUUAAGUCUGAUGUGAAAGCCUUCGGCUUAACCGGAGAAGUGCAUCGGAAACUGAUAAACUUGAGUGCAGAAAAGGAUAGUGGAACUUCAUGUGUAGCGGUGAAAUGCGUAGAUAUAUGAAGGAACACCAGUGGCGAAGGCGGCUAUCUGGUCUGUAACUGACGCUGAGGCUCGAAAGCAUGGGUAGCAAACAGGAUUAGAUACCCUGGUAGUCCAUGCCGUAAACGAUGAAUGCUAGGUGUUGGAAGGUUUCCGCCUUUCAGUGCCGCAGCUAACGCAUUAAGCAUUCCGCCUGGGGGAGUACGACCGCAAGGUUGAAACUCAAAGGAAUUGGACGGGGACCCGCACAAGCGGUGGAGCAUGUG